rnacentral:rRNA from 1 species
UACGGAAGGCAGCAGUGGGGAAUAUUGCACAAUGGGCGCAAGCCUGAUGCAGCCAUGCCGCGUGUAUGAAGAAGGCCUUCGGGUUGUAAAGUACUUUCAGCGGGGAGGAAGGCGAUGCGGUUAAUAACCGCGUCGAUUGACGUUACCCGCAGAAGAAGCACCGGCUAACUCCGUGCCAGCAGCCGCGGUAAUACGGAGGGUGCAAGCGUUAAUCGGAAUUACUGGGCGUAAAGCGCACGCAGGCGGUCUGUUAAGUCAGAUGUGAAAUCCCCGGGCUUAACCUGGGAACUGCAUUUUGAACUGGCAGGCUUGAGUCUUGUAGAGGGGGUAGAAGUUCCAGGUGUAGCGGUGAAUGCGUAGAGAUCUGGAGGAAUACCGGUGGCGAAGGCGGCCCCUGGGACAAAGCUGACGCUCAGGUGCGAAAGCGUGGGGAGCAAACAGGGAUUAGAUACC